AGAACAACUGUAAUGGGGUAGGUUAAUAGAACUCAAGACAUUCUUCGUCAAUUGAAUAAAGCUUAAUACUAACGAUAAGUGUCUAAGAAAUUAACUAAAUACGCCGUUUAGCGUUAUUAUUAUAAACUCAUUUGUAAAGGUAUAGGUAAUUAGUUAUCUGUUAGCUGAUACUAUCAAUGUUCAAAACGAAACUACGUCAGUAUAUUAAAUACCACUUCAGUAGUCAGUACGGUGACGCAUAGAACAGAAGUAUAAUGUGUUAUGUAUAAAGGGUAAAGACAAUAUAUCGGCGGAGUUAUCAAUUAAAUCAAAGAGAGCGGUUUAGAUAAACGUAUUCGAUUCGUUUAGUUUCGUUUUUAAAGUAGGAUGUGACGCGAGACUUUUGAAAAUCUACAAAGGGCGAAGAAUAGAAGAGGUUGCGAAUUACUGUUAUAGUUCAUUUAAACUAAUAAAUAGGGGAGGCACAGAAGGCAAACUGUAACACCGGCGGGUCAACACCAGCGACCAGAGAGGGCCAACAUCGCCCUUCAGCCACCGACGACAGACCGAAGGCUCGAAGCGAAGACAACCGGGAAGCGGGGACCAAACGGUCAGACCAUCCAGCGCCUCAGUACCAUCAUCUGAAACUGCCCCACAGCGGCAGGCGUGCCCCGGGGCAUUAGCAGGACACCCACAGCACGGCUAGUCACCGUCCGGGUGAUCGCGAUUGAUCCGAAAGGGCGCUCGGGCCGAACGCCUCAAGUCUCCACUCUCCGCUGACCGGGCACUCAACGCACCGAGCAGCACGCAGCAAGACCAGACACGGAGGAAACAGAAGGAAAACUGUAUAAAAUCCAAACACCGGCAGUCAACAACAGACUACACAGGGCAAACAUCGCUUCACCGAUAGAACAUCAGCCGAAGACGGAACUCCGGGAGACUAGCAGCAAGCGGCACCACACCGCCACCCAUCCGCACCUCCAAUCACCUCAUCCGAAACUGUUCCACAGCGGUUGUAGUGCCCCGGGACAUUAUUAGGACACCCACAGCUUGGUUGGUCACCGUCCGGGUGAUCACGAUUGAGCGUGGAGGGGCCGCGGAUGCGGCGCCAGGAGGUGCCACGGACCGCAAAGCUCCCGGAACGACGAGUACAACAACCACGGUCAGAAGGAAAACUAGGAAACGAACAAUGGCGAUACGCACACUCCACAACAUCGGAAGGAGAAGACGCGAUGAACGAGAUUAGAGGCCGGCUGGCUAUCCAGCAGGGCCGAUAAAACAACAACAGAACGAAAAGACAAGAGUGGCGAGCAGCGAAGCCGGGUCGAGAAUUGUACAAAUGCAAACUGCAGGCUUUCAGCCAACAAUGUAUCUUUUAUCUUUUAUAACAUGUAAGAUUAAUUUAAAUGUGCACCCUUAGAAGACACCCCCCCCCCCAAAAAAAAAAAAAAAAUAUAGGUGU